UACAGAGGGGGCAAGCGUUGUUCGGAAUUACUGGGCGUAAAGGGCGCGUAGGCGGCCUGCUAAGUCGAACGUGAAAUCCCCGGGCUCAACCCGGGAACUGCGUCCGAUACUGGCAGUCUUGAAUCCGGGAGAGGGAUGUGGAAUUCCAGGUGUAGCGGUGAAAUGCGUAGAUAUCUGGAGGAACACCGGUGGCGAAGGCGACACGCUGGGCCGUACCUGACACUGAUGCGCGACAGCAUGGGGAGCAAACAGG
rnacentral:rRNA from 1 species